GACGAACGCUGGCGGCGUGCCUAAUACAUGCAAGUCGAACGAAGCUGUUUUAACUGGUGCUUGCACCGACUUAAACAACUGAGUGGCGAACGGGUGAGUAACACGUGGGUAACCUGCCCCAAAGCGGGGGAUACAUUUGGAAACAGAUGCUAAUACCGCAUAACCACAGAAACCACAUGGUUUCUGUGUCAAAGAUGGUCUCGGCUAUCACUUUGGGAUGGACACGCGGCGUAUUAGCUAGUUGGUAAGGUAAUGGCUUACCAAGGCAAUGAUACGUAGCCGAACUGAGAGGUUGAUCGGCCACAUUGGGACUGAGACACGGCCCAAACUCCUACGGGAGGCAGCAGUAGGGAAUCUUCCACAAUGGACGAAAGUCUGAUGGAGCAACGCCGCGUGAGUGAAGAAGGUUUUCGGAUCGUAAAACUCUGUUGUCAGAGAAGAACGUGUGCGAGAGUAACUGCUCGUGCAGUGACGGUAUCUGGCCAGAAAGCCACGGCUAACUACGUGCCAGCAGCCGCGGUAA
rnacentral:rRNA from 1 species